rnacentral:lncRNA from 1 species
CGGCCCGGUCUGUUGUCAUUGUGACGUCACAAAGGGACGGCCCGGUGGAACCUCCUCCUCCUCCUCCUCCGUGACGUCAGAAGUCGGGCGGGAGGUUCCACGCGGCGGGGCGGCCGCGGGCGGAGGGAGCGCGCGGAGGCCGCGGCGUGGGAGGAGGACGAGGAGGAGGAGGCGGCGGCGACCGGCCUCCGCCUUCCGCCCUGGGACGCGGCGCUGCCCUGCAGGUCUGCCGACGGUGUGGCAUUGCUGCGGUGGUCGCUGUCCUCUUGGAAGAAAAGCAGGGAAACUUUACUCAGGGAAAGCUUCGCUUUGCAAGAGGCUGUGCUGUGGAUUUGGCCACCUUGUCGAUGCAAGUCGUAUUUGGGGUGUCUCUGGGGGAUGCUUUUCUGGGUGAUGCUGCUCACCAGCAACUGGCCCUCGUUCUGGGAGCCUUGCAACCACCGUUGGCUCCUCCUUCGCUGGGCCAGCUCUGUGCUUUUAUCUUUUUUGGGGGGUGGGAGGGAUGGACCAGGGAAGACUUAUCAUGGUUACAUAUUCUUGAAAGAGCGGGAGAGAACUAAAUCUCAGGGUGUUCUGGACUUAGUACUUCUGAACACUUAGAACAGGAGACUCACAAUCUGAGUGUGUUUAGUCCUCUGGAAAAUGGGAAAGGUAACACACCUGCCUCUGCCCCUCACUUUUAUCUGCAAGGAUCCUGUGCGUGAGAGAAUGUGCGUGAAAGAUCUUCUCUUUCAGGGGGUAUGACUCCUCGAGCUGGUGGAAGGCAGCACAUAUUCCACAAUUGGUCUCAGAAGCCUCAGAUGCCUGCCGCGUUGCCAUUCAGUUUAUUGCCUACGCAAAGCAGUUUGGGGGUGGGAUUGUGGAUGGCAGGCUUUGGGGCACAUGGUGGUUAUAUUUCAUAUUCAGUGGCAUCCUUGAGAAACUCAUAAAUUGUUAUAUAAUCCCGUCUUAAUUGUGCUGGGCACAACUCCCACCACAAUACCUUGAGUAACAACUGGAAGCAUUUGCUUCCAAAGCCCCAAUCCACUUGGACGAUGAAAACCGUUGCAUGUCCUGGCUCCAUGGAUGCUUUCUGCCGUUUUUUUUCGUCCCUGCACUCGGAUGGGUUAUUCUUAGGGAGAAUAACGAAUAUAAUAUGCAGGCUUCAAAACCGUUUGAUCUUUGAGGCUUUAAACCUAGGAGUCUGAAAUAAAAAAUCUCUGCCACACGACCA